GUGGAAUGAAAUAAAAUCCACACCAAAAUAAAACCCAUAACAGAACCGUGUUGACCUAGAGACUCCAGGACUUCAGGAGGAAUUUGCAGGCAAUUUUGUGGCUCCUCUCCUUUGCCUCAGCUCCAACCACAGCCUCAGCACUAAUAAAUGUAUUUACAAGUGGUUUUUGCUCACUCCAUUGAAUCAGCGUGCCCAGGGUGAGUUUCCAGGUCCUGACUUCCCCCUGGGAUUUUGGGAAGGGGCUGGCUGCUGGCUGAGGUCUCUGAUUUAAUCACUCAACCUUACCCUUCUCCUUCAUUUGCAAACCCACAAGGGCGUGUGAAGAGUUUGAGUCAUCUCUGAGUCAGCUCCUCUGAGCACACAGAACCCGAGGCCAGCAGCUGCAGAAAGGGAAUUUUUCUGGAUGAUGGAGAAGGAACCAUCCUGGCACGAAAGGUCUCAGGCUCCAGGCACGACCCUGAGGAGGAGCCAGCAUUCCUCAGCCUCCCCCUCUGCAGGCACCUGUGAUGGAGCAGCAGGACCUGGGAUCCCUCCUUGUGCUGCUGAGCCAGAAAACAUCACAGUGUGAAAAAUAUGUAUUU
rnacentral:lncRNA from 1 species